rnacentral:tRNA from 1 species
GCCCUGGUAAUCCAAUCCGGCAGAGAUGAUGGUCUCAAACACCAUACAGUGUGGGUUCGAGUCCCACCCAGGGCA